UGGGGAAUUUUGGACAAUGGGGGAAACCCUGAUCCAGCCAUCCCGCGUGUGCGAUGAAGGCCUUCGGGUUGUAACGCACUUUUGGCAGGAAAGAAACGUCAUGGGUUAAUACCCCGUGAAACUGACGGUACCUGCAGAAUAAGCACCGGCUAACUACGUGCCAGCAGCCGCGGUAAUACGUAGGGUGCAAGCGUUAAUCGGAAUUACUGGGCGUAAAGCAUGCGCAGGCGGUUCGGAAAGAAAGAUGUGAAAUCCCAGAGCUCAACUUUGGAACUGCAUUUUUAACUACCGGGCUAGAGAGUGUCAGAGGGAGGUGGAAUUCCGCAUGGAGCAGUGAAAUGCGUAGAUAUGCGGAGGAACACCGAUAGCGAAGGCAGCCUCCUGGGAUAACACUGACGCUCAUGCACGAAAGCGUGGGGAGCAAACAGG
rnacentral:rRNA from 1 species